AGUGAACGCUGGCGGUAGGCCUAACACAUGCAAGUCGAACGGCAGCACAGUAAGAGCUUGCUCUUACGGUUGGCGAGUGGCGGACGGGUGAGGAAUACAUCGGAAUCUACUUUUUCGUGGGUGAUAACGUAGGGAAACUUACGCUAAUACCGCAUACGACCUACGGGUGAAAUCAGGGGAUCUUCGGACCUUGCGCGAUUGAAUGAGCCGAUGUCGGAUUAGCUAGUUGGCGGGGUAAAGGCCCACCAAGGCGACGAUCCGUAGCUGGUCUGAGAGGAUGAUCAGCCACACUGGAACUGAGACACGGUCCAGACUCCUACGGGAGGCAGCAGUGGGGAAUAUUGGACAAUGGGCGCAAGCCUGAUCCAGCAAUACCGCGUGGGUGAAGAAGGCCUUCGGGUUGUAAAGCCCUUUUGUUGGGAAAGAAAAGCAGCAGGUUAAUACCCCGCUGUUCUGACGGUACCCAAAGAAUAAGCACCGGCUAACUUCGUG
rnacentral:rRNA from 1 species